GAUGAAGAACGUAGCGAAAUGCGAUAAGUAAUGUGAAUUGCAGAAUUCAGUGAAUCAUCGAAUCUUUGAACGCACAUUGCGCCCCCUGGUAUUCCGGGGGGCAUGCCUGUUCGAGCGUCAUUUCACCACUCAAGCCUCGCUUGGUAUUGGGCAACGCGGUCCGCCGCGUGCCUCAAAUCGACCGGCUGGGUCUUCUGUCCCCUAAGCGUUGUGGAAACUAUUCGCUAAAGGGUGCUCGGGAGGCUACGCCGUAAAACAAACCCAUUUCUAAGGAUGACCUCGGAUCAGGUAGGGAUACCCGCUGAACUUAAGCAUAUCAAUAGCGGAGGA
rnacentral:misc_RNA from 1 species